ACAAAGAUCUUGAUUGUAAUGUCUGUUGUCUGCUCUCUUAAGUAUGAGUAAUGCAUUUGCCUUGCAUGUAGAUGGAGCAGACAAAACUACAAAGAUAUUAAAAUGCUACAUUUGCGAGAAAUCUGUUUGUUACAUGUAUUUACUGCAAAGAAUUAAUUCACUCUUCCUUUAAAGAUUCCAAAUCUAUGCAAGACGGCUGGGGGGAGAGUGAUGGCCCAGUCACAGGAGCUCGCCAUCCUAGCUGGGAAGAGGAAGAUGAUGGAGGAGUCUGGAACACCGCCGGCUCUCAGGGAAGCACUUCCUCCCACAACUCAGCAAGCUGGGGACAAGGAGGAAAGAAACAAAUGAAGGUAGUGCUUCAGUUUACUUACUCACUCCUAGAAGGUAAAACAGAGACUGUGUUCAUGGAGGAAAUGAAGCAGCUGAAGUCACCAAGUGUUUCCUUAUAAAUCAAUAACUACUUCCCUUGUGUCCCCUAAUCUUCCUGUCCCCUGACCUUGAAAUCUUGAACUAUUAGACAUGGCAUUAUAGGUGAAAUGAAAUUUGUAUGGUAGAGGUUUUCAUGUUGUAAUUUAUUUUAAGCAGUUCC
rnacentral:lncRNA from 1 species